rnacentral:rRNA from 1 species
AUGGUCUUUUUUCUACUAGACUGCAGCUCCAGCGAGGUCGAGUGCCACGUCGUCUGGGCCAGCAUGCUCACAGAGUUCAUCCUUGAUGGCGAUGGCUGGAUGGACUUUGACGAUGUCAGCCUCGUCGACGGCUACAACAUGCCCAUGCCAUGUUGGUUCACAAGCGCUGCCCCCUGUGAGCUCUGCUCCAGUUACGAGGACACCAUCUCCACAUUCGCUUGCAACCACACCAACUACAGCAUGACCUUCUGCCCACAGUCCAAUCCAAACAGAAAGCCGCAGUUGUAUGAUUGGAGCCUGGAAAAGCAAGACCACAUCAUAGAAGUGCUCAUGGUCAUGCACUUGUUGGUCUAA